rnacentral:rRNA from 1 species
UCGUAGAGAUGUUCGUUAAGUCCGGCAACGAGCGCAACCCACAUCUUCAGUUGCCAGCAGUUCGGCUGGGCACUCUGGAGAAACUCGCCCGUGAUAAGCGGGAGGAAGGUGUGGAUGACGUCAAGUCCUCAUGGCCUUACGGGUUGGGCUACACACGUGCUACAAUGGCAGUGACAAUGGGUUAACUCCCCAAAAACUGUCUCAGUUCGGAUUGUUCUCUGCAACUCGAGAGCAUGAAGUCGGAAUCGCUAGUAAUCGCGUAACAGCAUGACGCGGUGAAUACGUUCCCGGGCCUUGUACACACCGCCCGUCACACCAUGGGAGUUGGGUUUACCCGAAGACGGUGCGCCAACCUUUUAGGAGGCAGCUGGCCACGGUAAGCUCAGCGACUGGGGUG